rnacentral:rRNA from 1 species
UACGUAGGGUGCAAGCGUUAAUCGGAAUUACUGGGCGUAAAGCGUGCGCAGGCGGCUUUGCAAGACAGAUGUGAAAUCCCCGGGCUUAACCUGGGAACUGCAUUUGUGACUGCACGGCUGGAGUGCGGCAGAGGGGGAUGGAAUUCCGCGUGUAGCAGUGAAAUGCGUAGAUAUGCGGAGGAACACCGAUGGCGAAGGUAAUCCCCUGGGCCUGCACUGACGCUCAUGCACGAAAGCGUGGGGAGCAAACAGG